CAAGCGUUAUCCGGAAUUAUUGGGCGUAAAGAGCUCGUAGGCGGUUUGUCGCGUCUGCCGUGAAAGUCCGGGGCUCAACUCCGGAUCUGCGGUGGGUACGGGCAGACUAGAGUGAUGUAGGGGAGACUGGAAUUCCUGGUGUAGCGGUGAAAUGCGCAGAUAUCAGGAGGAACACCGAUGGCGAAGGCAGGUCUCUGGGCAUUAACUGACGCUGAGGAGCGAAAGCAUGGGGAGCGAACAGG
rnacentral:rRNA from 1 species